rnacentral:rRNA from 1 species
AUUGAACGCUGGCGGCAGGCCUAACACAUGCAAGUCGAGCGAGCGGCGGACGGGUGAGUAAUGUCUGGGAAACUGCCUGAUGGAGGGGGAUAACUACUGGAAACGGUAGCUAAUACCGCAUACCAUCAGAUGUGCCCAGAUGGGAUUAGCUAGGAGUUGGGGUAACGGCUCACCUAGGCGACGAUCCCUAGCUGGUCUGAGUGGUUGACCAGCCCCACGGGAACUGGAACACGGUCCAGACUCCUACGGGAGGAAGCGGGGGGGAAUAUAGCACAAUGGGCGCAAGCCUGAUGCAGCCAUGCCGCGUGUGUGAAGAAGGCCUUCGGGUUGUAAAGCACUUUCAGCGGGGAGGCGUUACCCGCAGAAGAAGCACCGGCUAACUCCGUGCCAGCAGCCGCGGUAAUUC